UGCGGGAUAGAGCAGAGGCAGCUCGUCGGGCUCAUAACCCGGAGGUCGUUGGUUCGAAUCCAGCUCCCGCUA
rnacentral:tRNA from 1 species